rnacentral:lncRNA from 1 species
CUAAGCUGCUUCUCUUUUUUGAACAACAACAACAAAAAACUCUUCUCAGGCUUCCAUGACGCUGCACUGCCUAGCGUCAUCCACUAACCCUCUCUAGUUCCACACCCAGACUCCUCUUUCUCCCAUGGAAUGCAGACUUUCCUCAGCAUUCUAAGGCUCUUUUCUUCUGUAUAAAUAUUCUCUUGGUGAUCUUAUGUAUCCCCCUGGCUUAAAUGUGCUUCUCUAAAGCAG